rnacentral:rRNA from 1 species
GAUGAACGCUGGCGGCGUGCUUAACACAUGCAAGUCGAACGAAGCACUUGAACCCGAUUUCUUCGGAUUGAAGGAUCUUGUGACUUAGUGGCGGACGGGUGAGUAACGCGUGGGCAACCUGCCUCACACUGGGGGACAACAGUUGGAAACGACUGCUAAUACCGCAUAAGCGCACACUGCUGCAUGGCAGAGUGUGAAAACUCCGGUGGUGUGAGAUGGGCCCGCGUUGGAUUAGGUAGUUGGUAGGGUAAUGGCCUACCAAGGCAACGAUGCGUAGCCGACCUGAGAGGGUGAUCGGCCACACUGGGACUGAGACACGGCCCAG